rnacentral:tRNA from 1 species
GCCCAGGUGGCGGAACAGGUAGACGCACCAUCUUGAGGGGGUGGCGCCGCAAGGCGUGCGGGUUCGAGUCCCGCUCUGGGCACCA